UACGGAGGAUCCAAGCGUUAUCCGGAAUUACUGGGCGUAAAGAGCGCGCAGGCGGUCGUUCAAGUCGCGUGUGAAAGCCCCCGGCUCAACUGGGGAGGGUCACGCGAUACUGAUCGACUCGAAGGCAGGAGAGGGAAGUGGAAUUCCCGGUGUAGUGGUGAAAUGCGUAGAUAUCGGGAGGAACACCAGUGGCGAAGGCGACUUCCUGGCCUGUUCUUGACGCUGAGGCGCGAAAGCUAGGGGAGCAAACGGG
rnacentral:rRNA from 1 species